GGGGAAUCAAGGGCCUGGGGAAGUGUGGAAUCUCCAUCACUGGAGCCUUCAGGAGCAGAUUAAACAAAUAGCUGUCAGGAAUGACAGAUGAUCCUUCCUGGGCUGGGGAUAGGCUGGGAUGGCCUCGGGAGGCCCUGGCUGUGUUUGCUGAUUGUGGAGAUUGCAGGAGCUGAUGUGGGGCUGCUGAGCAGCCCAGAGCUGGGCUGGAAUAGUGGUGGAGCUGGGGAAUGGCUCAGCUGGGGGAACUGGAAUUUGGGAGAGCUCCUUGUGCAGCAUCUUGGGGCUUUAAACACCCAGAUGUCACCAAGUCCUGCUGUGCCCUGGAGCAGGAGCUCGCUGAACUCCUGAAACCCUGGAGCCUGUGGUGUCACAGGGGUGGGAACAGCAGGUAUUCCGUUGUCACCUCUGCUUUUCCAAAAUCCACAUUUCCCUGGGAAGGAGCAGCAGCUCCCUCUCCCUGUGCCAGCAGCAUCCCUGGAGCUGUGUCCUGUCUCAGGGAAGAUGCUGAAACACCUGCGUGCUGCCUGGAAAUGUCACUGUUGAGGCUUCAUCUUAUCAAGCUGUUGUUCAGAAAUGUUUAG
rnacentral:lncRNA from 12 species